AACGAACGCUGGCGGCAGGCUUAACACAUGCAAGUCGAACGGAUCCUUCGGGAUUAGUGGCAGACGGGUGCGUAACGCGUGGGAACGUACCCUUUGCUACGGAAUAACUCAGGGAAACUUGAGCUAAUACCGUAUGUGCCCUACGGGGGAAAGAUUUAUCGGCAAAGGAUCGGCCCGCGUUGGAUUAGCUAGUUGGUGGGGUAAUGGCCUACCAAGGCGACGAUCCAUAGCUGGUCUGAGAGGAUGAUCAGCCACACUGGGACUGAGACACGGCCCAGACUCCUACGGGAGGCAGCAGUGGGGAAUAUUGGACAAUGGGCGCAAGCCUGAUCCAGCCAUGCCGCGUGAGUGAUGAAGGUCUUAGGAUUGUAAAGCUCUUUCACCGGUGAAGAUAAUGACGGUAGCCGGAGAAGAAGCCCCGGCUAACUUCGUG
rnacentral:rRNA from 1 species